rnacentral:lncRNA from 1 species
UGGUAUUGGGAACCAUAGAUUUGUGCAGUGUUUCAGUGCAGGGCUUCCUAAAACAGAAGCCAACUGGGUGAAUGUAAUAAGUGAUUUGAAAAAAAUUGAAGAUCUUAUUCAACUAUGCAUAUUGAUGCUACUUUAUAUACGGAAAGUGAUGUUCACCCAGUUGCAAAGUAACAGCAAUGAAGUGCUUUCUCUUGGAGUUACAAGUUAUUUCACUUGAGUCCGGAGAUGCAAGUAUUCAUGAUACAGUAGAAAAUCUGAUCAUCCUAGCAAACAACAGUUUGUCUUCUAAUGGGAUGUAACAGAAUCUGGAUGCAAAGAAUGUGAGGAACUGGAGGAAAAAAAUAUUAAAGAAUUUUUGCAGAGUUUUGUACAUAUUGUCCAAAUGUUCAUCAACACUUCU